rnacentral:rRNA from 1 species
UACGAAGGGGACUAGCGUUGUUCGGAAUCACUGGGCGUAAAGCGCACGUAGGCGGAUUUGUAAGUCAGGGGUGAAAUCCCGGGGCUCAACCUCGGAACUGCCUUUGAUACUGCGAAUCUUGAGUCCGAUAGAGGUGGGUGGAAUUCCUAGUGUAGAGGUGAAAAUUCGUAGAUAUUCGCAAGAACACCAGUGGCGAAGGCGGCUCACUGGCCCGGCAUUGACGCUGAGGAGCGAAAGCCAGGGGAGCCAAAGCGGG